rnacentral:rRNA from 1 species
GUGACGAAGCGACGCCGCGUGUGGGAAGAAGGCCUUCGGGUUGUAAACCACUGUUGGGAGUUAGGAAGUGUGGAGGUGUUAAUAGCGCUUUCACUUGACUAAAGCUCCAGAGGAAGCCACGGCUAACUCUGUGCCAGCAGCCGCGGUAAUACAGAGGCGGCAAGCGUUGUUCGGAAUUAUUGGGCGUAAAGAGCACGUAGGCGGCUCUGCAAGUCAGCUGUGAAAGCCUUCUGCUUAACGGAAGAACGGCAGUUGAAACUACAGGGCUUGAGUGCGGGAGGGGAGAGUGGAACUUCUGGUGGAGCGGUGAAAUGCGUAGAUAUCAGAAGGAACGCCGGCGGCGAAAGCGGCUCUCUGGUCCGUAACUGACGCUGAGUGUGCGAAAGCUAGGGGAGCAAACGGGAUUAGAUACCCCGGUAGUCCUAGCCGUAAACGAU